AUAUUUGCCCGACAUGGGAGAUACCAUAAUCAUGAAGGUGUUUUUCCUAUGAUGAGGCUCAUUCGUUGCACACCGGCUGUGCUGACUACUUUCUUCUUCUGAAAAAGAGGGAGAGAAAAAAAUCUGCAGUAUGAUUUC
ensembl:snRNA U1 U1 spliceosomal RNA